rnacentral:lncRNA from 1 species
GGUGGUUCCCGUCAGGAGCAGACUGGGACCGUUGGGAGAGGAGGUGGUUCCCAUCAGGAGCAGACUGGGACCGUUGUGGGAGGAGGUGGUUCCCAUCAGAAGCAGACUGGGACCGUUGGGGAAGGAGGUGGUUCCCGUCAGGAGCAGACUGGGACCGUUGUGGGAGGAGGUGGUUCCCAUCAGGAGCAGACUGGGACCGUUGUGGGAGGAGGUGGUUCCCAUCAGGAGCAGACUGGGACUGUUGGGAGAGGAGGUGGUUCCCAUCAGGAGCAGACUGGGACCAUUGGGAGAGGAGGUGGUUCCCAUCAGGAGCAGACUGGGACCGUUGUGGGAGGAGGUGGUUCCCAUCAGAAGCAGACUGGGACCGUUGGGGAAGGAGGUGGUUCCCGUCAGGAGCAGACUGGGACCGUUGUGGGAGGAGGUGGUUCCCAUCAGGAGCAGACUGGGACCGUUGUGGGAGGAGGUGGUUCCCAUCAGGAGCAGACUGGGACCGUUGGGAGAGGAG